AUGGCGGCGGCGGACCUCGCUCACAUUCCUGAUGUGGACAUCGACUCCGAGGGCGUCUUCAAGUAUGUGCUGAUCCGAGUCCACUCGGCUCCGCGCUCCGGGCUCCGGCUGCGGAGAGCAAGGAGAUCGUGCGCGGCUACAACUGGGCCGAGUACCAUGCGGACAUCUACGACAAAGCGUCGGGCGACAUGCGGAAGCAGGGCUGUGACUGUGAGUGUCUGGGCGGCGGGCGCAUCUCCCACCAGAGCCAGGACAAGAAGAUUCACGUGUACGGCUACUCCAUGGCCUAUGGUCCUGCCCAGCACGCCAUUUCAACUGAGAAAAUCAAAGCCAAGUACCCCGACUACGAGGUUACCUGGGCUAAGGAUGGCUACUGAGCACUCCCAGUCUGGGGCCUGCUACCUCCAGCAGCUAUGUCGG